UGUGCACCAGUGGGGUCCCUCGGCCUGGCCUGUGCCCUCUCUCAAUCUGGGACCCCUCAGAGGGUGUCAGAGAGCCAGUUUUAGCCUAAUCUUGCAGGCCAGGCUGAGGGACCCCACUGGUGCAUG
rnacentral:pre_miRNA from 1 species